rnacentral:rRNA from 1 species
GAUGAACGCUGGCGGCGUGCCUAAUACAUGCAAGUCGAGCGAACAGAUGAGGAGCUUGCUCCUCUGACGUUAGCGGCGGACGGGUGAGUAACACGUGGAUAACCUGCCUAUAAGACUGGGAUAACUUCGGGAAACCGGAGCUAAUACCGGAUAAUAUAUUGAACCGCAUGGUUCAAUAGUGAAAGACGGUUUUGCUGUCACUUAUAGAUGGAUCCGCGCCGCAUUAGCUAGUUGGUAAGGUAACGGCUUACCAAGGCGACGAUGCGUAGCCGACCUGAGAGGGUGAUCGGCCACACUGGAACUGAGACACGGUCCAGACUCCUACGGGAGGCAGCAGUAGGGAAUCUUCCGCAAUGGGCGAAAGCCUGACGGAGCAACGCCGCGUGAGUGAUGAAGGUCUUCGGAUCGUAAAACUCUGUUAUUAGGGAAGAACAAAUGUGUAAGUAACUAUGCACGUCUUGACGGUACCUAAUCAGAAAGCCACGGCUAACUACGUG